UACCAGCACCCCGAGUGGUCGGGACGUUUAUUGGGCCUAAAGCAUCCGUAGCCGGUUCUACAAGUCUUCCGUUAAAUCCAACUGCUUAACAGGUGGGCUGCGGAAGAUACUAUAGAGCUAGGAGGCGGGAGAGGCAAGCGGUACUCGAUGGGUAGGGGUAAAAUCCGUUGAUCCAUUGAAGACCACCAGUGGCGAAGGCGGCUUGCCAGAACGCGCUCGACGGUGAGGGAUGAAAGCCAGGGGAGCAAACGGG
rnacentral:rRNA from 1 species